rnacentral:lncRNA from 1 species
GGAGCAUAAUAAUGUGAGAAAAUAAUGUGUGUGUAUCUGGGUGGGUCACCAUGCUGUACAGUAGAAAAAAAAUUGUAUUGGGAAAAUAACAACAACAACAAAAACCCCUUCAAAUAUUUUUUUUGUAAUGGCUGAUUAUGCUCCACAUUUUGUUUAUUCAUUUAUCUGUUGAUAGGCUUUGGUUGUUUACAACUUUUGGCUGUUGUGAUUAAUGCUGCAGUGAACAUUGAUGUUCAAAUACCUGUUUCAGUUCUUGUUUGCAGUUGUUUUGAGUAUAUACCUUGGGGUUAAAUUACUAAGUUAUAUGGCAAUUUAAAAUUUUGGGGACUUGCCAAGUUGGUUUCCAUAGCAGCUGUACCAUUUUACAUUCCUCCCGAAAGUAUUAGGCUUCCAAUUUCUCCACACCCUCACUAGUACUUGCUAUUUUCUAUUUUGAUUUGGUUUGUUAUUUUUUUAAAAGCCAUCCUAGUGGGUGUGAAAUGAUAGCUCGUUAUGGUUUGAAUUUGCAUUUCCCUAAUGACUAAUGACCUUAUACAUCUUUUCAUGGGCUUAUUGACUAUUUGUAUAUUUCCUUGGUAGAACUGUCUAUUCAAGUUCAUUGCUCUCUUUUAAAUUGGACUUUUUGCUUAGUUCUUUAUAUAUUCUGCAAAGUAAGCCCUUAUCUGAUAAAUAAUUUACAAAUAUUUUUCUCAUUCUAUAGGUUUUCUUUCUACUUUCAUGAUAAUGUCCUAAAAUGCACAAAAGUCUUCAAUUUAUCUAAUUUUUCUUUUAUUACUCAUGCUUUUAGUGUCAUAUUUAGAAAUCUGUGGCCAAAUUCAAUGUCAUAAAGGUUUUACGCUGAGUUUUCUGACAGAUUUAUAGUUGAAGUGCUUAUAUUUAUGUUGCUGAUGUAUUCUGAUUCAUUUUUGCAUGUGGUAUGAUCAAAGGCCCCAACUUCAUUAUUUUGUUUGUGGAAAUACAGUUGUUCCAGACCAUUUGUUGAAGGUACUGUUCUUUCCACAUUGAAUGGACUUGGCACCAUUGUUGAAAACCAUUUGAGAGUUCCCGUUGUGGUGCAGUGGUUAAUGAAUCUGAUUAGGAGCCAUGAGGUUGUGGGUUCAAUCCCUGGCGUUGCCUUGAGCUGUGGUGUACGUUGCAGACGCGGCUCGGGUCCUGCAUUGCUGUGGCUCUGGCAUAGGCUGGCAGCUACAGCUCCGAUUUGACCUGGGAACCUCCAUAUGCCGCAGGAGCAGCCCUAGAAAAGGCAAAAAGCAAAAACAAAAAACUUAAAAAAAAAAAACAGAAAACCAUUUGGCUAUAGAUAUAUGGGUUCAUUUCUGGACUGUCAAUUCUAGUCCAUUGGGUCUGUACAUAUGUCCUCACACAAAUACCUCACUGUUUUGAUCACUAUAGCUUUGCUAUUGGUUUUAAAACCAAGAAGUGUGAGUCUUCCAGCUUUGUUCUCUUUUUCAAGACUGUUUUGACUAGCUGGGGCUCCUUAAUAUUCCAAAUGAAUUUCAGGACUGGCUUUUCCAUUUCUGCACAAGAGACUUCUGGAAUUUUUAUGGAAUUUUGUUGGGUGUAUAAUCAUUUUUAUAUACUGUUGGAUUUAGUUUGCUAGUAUGUUAAGGAUUGACUGUGAAUUUUAUUGAUGGCUCGACUAGAUUUACUUGGAUGCCUCCUUUGACAAGGCAUUUCGGUCAGAGAAAAAAACUUCUGAGUCUUAGCUAUUUGAGUGAAUUAAACAAUGUUUUACUUAAAUUUUUAUAUCUGGCCUUUACAUUUAAGGAAUUCAAAAACAAUUUCAUCUAUAGUGUUAAAAUACUUAUGGGAAUGUCUAUUAGGUGUCAGAUGAUGGGUUAAACAUUUUAUAUGUUAUUUCAUUAAAAAGUACCCACUAGUAUCCUCACUUUACAAUGAAGACAAACACUUGGAGCUAGUAAAUUGUAAAGCAAGGGUUUUUAGUCCUUGUUUUUAAUUCUUGACUCCUGAUUCCUAAUUCUGUUUUGAUGUCUAAACUGAGACACAAAUGCACCUAAAUACUGCAAAGACAGAAUAAUAGUUCCUAUAACCAAAAAAAACUGUAUGAUGGGUCUAUUUUCAUACCUUUAUUUUCUGUAGUUUAGAACUCUUCAAACAUAAUAAUAGCACUAUACAGCAGGAAAUCACAGGACUAGAGUCAUUAUAGUGCUGUAUUAAAAUGCUAUAGAUGAGUGGAUGAAUUGAUGGAAAAAUAUUAAAGGAAAUCCAAGAAUGGCAUGAAUAAAAUCUUUUUUAAAUCUAAAUGCAUGUGAAUCAGUCUUUAUCAUUUUUAAACAUCUUAGGCAUUUUAGAGGACAGCAAGAUUUCUCAGUAAAACAACGUGAUUUUUCUAUGUAAAUGUUGUGGCAUAACAGGUGUGUUGGCUAGUGAUAAGAUACUCUGCCAAGGAACAAAUAAAUAAUUGCACAUGAAUCCCGGGAAGAUGUUAGCUCAAGGGUAUAUUUGAAUGUGAUUUUUAAAAUGGCAUUCUGUUUUUUCUCAGCAUCAGAAAUAGCUGCAUGCCCCUCUUGAAUGGUGAGAUUGACAAUAUUUUUCAUUGAAAACAUCUUAUUUUAAUUUUAAAAAUAUUGUUAUGAAAUAUACCAUGAAUUCUCUUCCCCCCACCCUAGCCCUUUUCCCUGGUUAAUGCAUUAAAAAUUGUUUUGUUCAAGACUUCAUCGGGAAGUCUUCCUAGGUUUUCUGAGCCUUCGUUAGCCAAACAUUCUUAAGUCCUUCCAUAGUACCCUGUUCUUAACUGCGGGGCACCAUCACCCUGAUGGGUAAUUUUCUGUUUACUAGUCAUCUCUUUAAGACCAUAAAUUCCUUGAGGGCAGAGAAUGAAUUUUAAUUAACAUGACCUGUGUACCUUCUUCAGUGGCUGAAAAGGCUUAGGAAAUGUUCAAUAUUAAAAAUUUUAAGUGCAAAUGAUUGCAUGUAGAAUGGAUAAGCAAUGAGGUACCACUGUAUAGCAUAGGGAACUAUAUCCAAUCUCUUGGGAUAGACUAUGAUAGAAGAUAAUAUAAGAAAAAGGGUAUGUGCAUGUGUAUAUAUAUAUAUAUAUAUAUAUAUAUAUAUAUAUGUGUGUGUGUGUGUAUGUAUAUGUAUAUAUGGGUCACUUUGCUGUACAGUGGAAAUUGUCACAAUAUUGUAAAUCAACUAUAAUUUAAAAAAUUUCUAAAAAAUUUAAGUGAAUAAAUGUUCUGUGUUAUUUGCAAAUGGUUCAAGCACCGGUUUCAGUACAGCCAACUCCAGCUCUAACAUUUGCUAUUCUUUUUUUUUUUUCUUUUUUCAGAGCUACAUCCACAGCAUAUGGAAGUUCCAAGGCUAGGGUUUGAAUUGGAGUGGAGCUGCGGCUGCUGGCCUAUGCCACAGCAAUGCAGGAUCCGAGCUGUGUCAGUAAGCUACAGCACAUUUCAUGGCAACACUGGAUCCCUAAUCCACUGAGUGGGGCCGGGGAUCGAACCACAUCCUCAUUAAUACUAAUUGGGUUCAUUACUGCUAAGCCACAAUGGGAACUCCAUAUUUGCUGUUCUUAACUUGGGAAAACUGCUGCUCUGUAACAAACUUUGUUACCCUUGCCAAUUGGUAAAUCUUAGGAGGUUAAUAAAGAUACUUCAUCCAUGUGUCUGAAUACAUGACAUUUUCAGUGAAAAAGGAUGCAAUACAUACUUAGUGUUUCCAUGUCCCUGAUCAGUUAUUCAAGAGCAGGAUGUGAAGGCAGGUGGACUGUGACAUCUGCUAUGUCACUGAUCAUCAUGCUGUAUUUCAAUGCCAUUACUAGUUCAGAUUCUUCCACACUAGUCCUGAAAUAAGACAACUGGUUGGAAAGCAAGCCCUUCCCAAAUAGGAGGAUAGCUGUUUCUCAGUCAGGGAUAUUUACAACUUUAAGAAUACAGCAUUGGAUAUGAUACCUUUUUUUUUUAACUGUAAUAAUCAGAUUAGGAUUUCUAAAAAUUUUCAAAGUUAAUCAACCUAGAGAAGCAUUUUCUUGAACCAUUCUUGGGAAUGCACCCCACUGUACUGGGCACUGGCAGCUUGGAAGUACUGAGUUUUUUCUGUGUGGUGAGGUGGUAAUCUUUAUAUGUGAUACGAAGUCAAGCAUCUCAAAGGUAUGAAACAAACUGAUUUUCAUUUUAAAAUAAGUUGGUGUCUGAUUGCAUCAAAUCAUAUGCUUUUUUCCCUUCUCUUUACCCCUAUCACUUCUACACUGAUCUUAUGCAGGUUUUGGAAGACAUCUUUGUUUCUAAAAGUACACUGUGUAUAGACCAGUGUGUAAUCAAAAUAUCACGUAAAUAAUAGGUAGAGUAAAAUUUGAGUGUUAAAAGAGAGUGCUAGUGGGACGAGUUGGGGCUCUGAAUUUGUGUUGGUUGGUAGAAAGUAGUUUAAGUUAAUUAAUGAAACUUCCUGGAAGGACUGUCCUUUACACAGGUAACAUCAAAGUAAAAAGACAUACUGGGGAGAAAAGAGAUGAGAUGUGGGAGGUGAAAAAAAUAGGUGAGCAUUUCGAAAAUGUAUUGCGUUCUCAUUGCAGAAUGGAUUAUUUUCACCCAGGAGUGAUAUUCAAAAGGUUUAACAACAGAUUGGGUUGGCCACUGGACUCAUCAGAACGUAGGCCAUGGGAACAGCGUUCAGAGCCUUUUAAAUUGUUGCCAUAGGCAGGAACAAGGACAAGAUGACUUAAAAACUAAGGUGGAAAUAAAGCAAAAUUAAGCAUUGCAGUCAGUAAGUUUCUCCUGUAUGUAUGUGAAAGUUGUUUGUAUUAGGUAUUGUGUGCGUGAUGUCUCGAUUUUCCCAGUACCUGUUGUAUAGUGGUGGGAUUGUGACUCUGCAGGAGGCCCUGGCUUUGCAGCUCUUGUGUGGUCACUCUCCUUCUCCUGACCCCUCGGGAGUCUGUUCUGGUCUCCGGAUCCUGCUGGAUUUGAUUUGUGGCCAGCCGCUGACAACUUACAAUAAAUCACCAUGAAUCACUCAGAGGGAACUAGAAAAAAAGAAAAAAAAAAAAA